GGGUGAAAAGAGCAUGGUAUGGUGCACGUAGAUAGAAAUGUAGAAGGGUUCUCAUGUCUGCUCGCUUUGAUGCCUUUGGGCUUUGAUCUUGCGGGCCUGGAUUGCACCCAUAUCU